UACGUAGGGUGCGAGCGUUGUCCGGAAUUAUUGGGCGUAAAGAGCUCGUAGGCGGUGUGUCACGUCGGCCGUGAAAACCUGCAGCUUAACUGUGGGCGUGCGGUCGAUACGGGCAUCACUGGAGUUCGGCAGGGGAGACUGGAAUUCCUGGUGUAGCGGUGAAAUGCGUAGAUAUCUGGAGGAACACCGGUGGCGAAGGCGGCAUUCUGGACCGAAACUGACACUGAGGCGCGAAAGCCAGGGGAGCAAACGGG
rnacentral:rRNA from 1 species